GCGACCCCAGGUCAGCGGGACUACCCGCUGAGUUUAA
rnacentral:rRNA from 1 species